rnacentral:rRNA from 1 species
UACGUAGGGGGCUAGCGUUGUCCGGAUUUAUUGGGCGUAAAGAGCGUGUAGGCGGCCAUGUAGGUCCGGUGUGAAAACUCGAGGCUUAACCUCGAGAUGUCAUCGGAAACCAUUUGGCUAGAGUCCAGAAGAGGAGAGUGGAAUUCCUGGUGUAGCGGUGAAAUGCGCAGAUAUCAGGAAGAACACCAAUGGCGAAAGCAGCUCUCUGGGACGGUACUGACGCUGAGGAGCGAAAGCGUGGGGAGCGAACAGG